CACAGAAUAAAGUCACAGGCCCCUCACCUCUAGGGACUCUGAGAGGCCAAACUUUGAAAGAAAAGAAAAAUGCCUGAGGUGAGAUGAUUGAGAAAUUAAAACUGUGUGCCCGUGAUCUGAGCCUUGGAAUUCAGCUGUGGCCAUCUCCAGGAAAGGCAUCCCCACAGAGCAUCCACCCCUGGCUGGAAGAUAAUGCGGUCGCAGAAGCUCAGGCCAAGUUCACCCCACCCCACGCAUGCAGAAAUAGUGCAGAAGGUCGGCCGAGACCCUCACUAAUGGAGAGAGAAGGGCUAACACAUACAGGGACCACUCUGAGGUGUGUUCCAGACCAUGCUCAGCGGUGCCCAGCAGGAUGGAGCUCUGCUGUUUGUGGAGGCCACCUGCUCACGCACCCACUGAGCUCAUGACUCCUCCCACCCUGCCCUGCUUCACGGCCCUGCCCCUGAAGGCUGCCUCCUGGGUCCUCUCCAGAUAAGCCACAUUCACUUGCAUCCUUAACUGGACACUUCUAUCCAAAGACAGGCUGGAGCCUUUGGAAGCUGACAGCCACAGCUUGGGGAACAGUGUGACCCCAGGCUUUCCUGGCAUUCACGUUGAAUCACUUGUCUAAUGUCACACAGCAUUUAAGAGGCAGAUCCAGGAUUUGAAGCAGAUCACUGGGCCCUGGAGGCUACACUGUUCACCACCCUGCUGUGAUGCCUUCAGAAGAUAAAACAGGCACAUUCCGGGCUACAACUGAGACUCCAAAGAGAACCUGGCCUCUCAGACUCAGCAAAUGGAAUUCUUGGUUCAAGGGCUGGUUUGCCCAGCAUGUGUCGGUGCCCACACUUGGAGCAACCUGCCAGCACCAGGAUGGGUCCCACUGGAGGAAGCAGCAGUCGAUGCUCUAAUGCGGUGGGAAGAACAAGGAGCAAUUCUGAAAACAGAAGUGUCAAAGUUACCAUCCCUUCUCUUGGUUCCUGAGAAUCCUUGGCCAGAAGACACAAACACCUGCCUUCCUUGCUCCAGGAACCAGAGAGGUGGUGUAGACCUCAGGAAGUCUGCUCAAGGACAAGAGGCAGUCAGCGGCUUCCAGAACAGCUUCUAGAUUGUGGGGGAGUGGGGAAGGGCUGGUCUGGGAGCAGGAAGAAGCUCAGUUCUGCUGCUGGCUGGCUGUGUGCCCACAGACAAGGAAGUCUCUUUCACUGUCCAAGCCUGAGUUUCUUUAAAAUAAAAUGUAAAGUUAAAAUAAAAUGUAAGAAUGCAGUGGCACCCUAGAUGUAAACUGUGUGUGCCUCGUCACAGAGCAGGUGCAGAGCAAAUGCCAAUUCCUUCCCAGUGCCCAGCCCACCCCAGGCCCACGGGGGGCUGCCUGGCCUCUGUGCCCAGCCUGAGACUACACUGAACUCAGGGGCUGUCAUUUCCCCUCAAGGUUGCUCUGCUCGCAAAUCAUCUGAUUUCAUCAGGACAGUGAAUGGUGGAGGGAGGUUGAGGCAGCAGGGUAAGUAAGUAUCUGUGAGACGACCAACAGCUAUUCUGGACUUCGUAAAAAUGUAAAGCUCUCUGAAGGACAUAGCAUAACAGGCACAGCUUUCCUCAACUAGUUGAAGUGGUUCUUGGCUUUCCUGGUCUAAUGCAACUCACGGGACAAAUGGCUGGUGGUCCUCUAUCCUCCCUGCCCUCUGAGUCAUUCUCCAGCCUGGCUCGGGCCUGUGCACCAGGUCUUGUGCCUGCUGGGGCCUCUAAAGCCAUCCAUGUCUCCAGGUCUCUGCAACAGCAGCAGGAUUCCAGUGGCAAGCUGAUAGGAGAAAUUUAACAGGGCUUUUCCUGUCUACCUUGACUGGAUUGUUCUUAUUUUUAUUUGCAGAAACCAGAGUAAGGCAGCCCAUCCAUCAAUCAAUGCCUGCUGCUCCUUAUGCCCCCAUGGCAGGUAUCAAACUCCUGCUGCAUUCUGGGGCCUGACGAAGAGUUGCAGAUGCAUGUGGAAUGGGCUGAACUCUGAACCCAUGUGUUCAUGUAGUACCUUUGCCACGUAGAUGCAUACUCCAGCUACUGCUCUAGGUACUAAGGAUGGAUUAGUCACACAUCAGGCGAGCCUCUGCUCUUGUAGAGCUGUAAGGUGACCAGUGCAAUGAAGGAAGAUGGGGAGGUGAGGGAGGUAAGACCUGGGAAUGUGGGGGAGGGGGCAAGUACCUGCAGAAGCUGAGUGUGUGAGCUAUGAGGAGAACACCACAAGAAAGAGUAUCCAGGCAGGGGGAGAGGUGAACUCACAGUUUCUGAAGUGGCCUGUGCUUAGCAUAUUCUAGAAAAGCCAGGGAGCUAGUAGGGCCAGGAAGGAGUGUUUUGUCUUAUUUUGUUUUUCAACAAAUGAAUGAACACAUGGGAACAGUGCAUGCUGGCUAAUUACCAUGUAAACUAUUCACCUGCUCUUGCUGGUAGGAUGGUAAUGCUUCCUGAACAGAGGUGUCCAGUCAGCCUGGCUCAGCAUGCCCUGCCUACACAGGGAUGAUAAGCCAUCACACAGCUUGUGGGUCUGAGCCAUGCUGCACAGUUCCACCAGACACAGAAGUCGUGCCUCCAAGGACCUGGGCAAGGCCAAACUCCACCUGCAGGAACCACACAGCUGUUAUAGCUGAUGUCCUGGCUUCCUGUGCUGGAGGAGCUGUCUGGGUCUUCUGGAUUUUGAAGCUGGAGACAUCUGAGCUGUGGCAUUUUGCUGUAGUUACUGCACUUCUUUGAGUAUCUCAUUAAUUUCUAAAAUGGGCAUAGUAAUAACUAGUAGCAUGUAGAAUUUUGGGGAGGAAAAUCAGAACAUGUAAGUGAUACUGGCUGAAUUGUGUCCCCAAAAUUCAUUUGUUGACCUUGUCACCUCAGCACCUCAGAACUUGACCUUAGUAGGAGAAAAGUCCUUUAAAGCAGUGAGUAAGGUAAGUGAGACCCUGGGGGCUAGCUGAAACCCUAAUGCAAUAGGACUAUGUCCUUACGAGAAGAGGAGAUGAGGACGCAGACACUCACAAAGGGAGGACUGUGUGCGGAGCAGGGAGGAGAGGGGCAUCUGCAGGCCAGGGAGUGAGGCUCAGAGGAGCCGGGCCUACCCACACCUUGAUCUUGAAACUGCAACCUCCGGAGCUGUGAGAAGACACAUUUCUGCCUUUGCCCCUGCCUGUGGGGCUGCCAGAGCAGCCCAAACUGACUAAGUCAGCUGGUGAGGACCCCUGGGAAUGCUCGCCUGUGAAAUUCGGCCCACGGACUCCGGG
rnacentral:lncRNA from 10 species